UUCUUCUUCUUCUUCUUCUUCUUCUUCUUUGCUGGGUUCUAUUAGUUUCUAUUGCUCCUACUUCCUACUUAUUUUAUAGAAGAGCUUGUUGAAUCUUGGGGGAUACAUCCGCAGUGGGUGAAUUAUCCUAAAGGCCAGUGUUCUUUAAACACGCCUCAAGCUAUACGUGCAAUAGUUUAUUAUUAUUUUUUCAAAAGAACCGUCUAAUUUGAUGAUUUGGUUCUUUUGGAGCUACAAUAAAUGGAGGAGAUGUAUCAAAGUGCAAGUCAGCAUCACCUAUUAAAUCAUCCAGAUUUGGUAUAACAAGGAACUUGAAGUCCUAUUCUCUUUAUCAACUGGUUGAUAAGGAAAAGAGAGUGAAAGCUCUGAGGAAUGCCUAUAAUAGCCAUAUGGAUAUAGGAACUAUUCGGUUUGCUCUGUACUAUAAAGAGUGGCUUAAAGUUGGAGGAAAAACUCCUUAUGUUCCUCCUGUGCCUGUAGCAUCUAGAGAUAGUUAUGUAACUUUAAGAAGAAUAUCUUCAAAUUCAUUCACGUCACAUUCUUCUAUCAACAAAAAUU